ACAGAAUCAUAGAAUUACAGAACAAACUGACUUAGAAGAGACCCAUCAGAAUUUUCUAGUCCAGCUUCUGGCCCUGCAUGGGGCGAUCACUGAUAAUGGUGCCCUAUGCCCGAGAGCAUUGUUGAAAUGCCUCUUGAACUCUGUCAGGCUGGUGUUGUGACCACUUCCCUGAGGAGCCUGAUCCAGUGCCCUGGAUGAAGAAUCUUUUCCUGAUAUCCAGCCUAAACCUCUCCUGACACAGCUUCAUGUCAUUCCCUUAUGUGCUAUCACUGGUCACCACGGAGCAGAGAUCAGUGCCUGCCUCUCCUCUUCCCCUCCCAAGGAAAGUGUAACUGCAAUGAAGUCUUCCCUCAGUCUCCUCUUCUCCAGACUGAACAGACCAAGUGGAUUCAGUCAUUCCUCGUAUGGCUUCUCCUCAGGGCUCUUCACCAUCUUUGUUGCCCUCCUUUGGAUACUGUCUAUAGCCUAAUAUCUUUUUUUAUAUUGCGAUACCUGAAACUGCGCACAGGACUUCGGGUGAGGCUGUACCAGCUGUAUCCUUUGCUGAAAUGCUGGUUAAAUAGUUACAUCUAAGUAUUGGUUUGGACAAGGAAUAGAUGCAAAUUUUGAGAAAAAUGCUUUUGAAAGUGCACGUGAUAUUGUAUUUCAACUGCAUGGAAGUUGAGCAUAGCUUCAUUUAUUCUUGGCACAG